AUACCACGUUUAGAUGCUCAAG
rnacentral:siRNA from 1 species